CAAUAUUUUCUUUCAGACUCAGGCAAGGCUGGUCCCUGCCCUGGGCUCCACACUUCAGAGGGCCCUGGGCUCCACACUUCAGAGGGCCCUGGGCUCCACACUUCAGAGGGCCCUGGGUAUGACAAAACUAUGAAAAAAAAGAUCCUUAGGAAUGACUACAGUCAAAAUCACAAAAGAAGUAGAAAAUGUAAAAGUAACCCCAAAAUAGAAAGAAGAAAUAAUCUUCAAAGAGGAUGUUUUCUUAAAUUGUUUAAACUCACAACUAAAUUGAACAAAUACGGCAGUGGUAAAACUGUUAGCUUGGAAGGGAUGUCGCCCUGAAGGACUGAG
rnacentral:lncRNA from 1 species